UUAUCACUCAAAAACCAAAGCAUUUAGAGCAAAUGACAUGUGGUAAAAUUGUUUAUCAAGUCAAGAUCUAUCUGCCCUGAAAUUUUUAGAUGAAUUGGACAACUGGUUGUUAGGUUGCUGCCCCUGAAUUGGUAGUUUUAAAGAAAUUUUGCCUUUUUGGUUAUUAUCUAAAGUAUUAUUAUAGAUAGAAAUAAAGUGUAAACAGCAUUAAUGUUAGGCAAAGUACAAUCUACAAAUAAGUGGAUAUAGCCAAAAUUUUCAAUUUACCCUUUAAGGAGUUAUUGCCCUUUAUAGUCAAUUUUUAACAAUUUUCAUAAAAUUUGUAAAUUUUUACUAACAUUUUCCACUGAAACUACUGGGCCAAGUUCAUUAUAGAUAGAGAUAAUUGUAAGCAGCAAGAAUGUUUAGUAAAGUAAGAUCUACAAACACAUCACCAUUACCAAAACACAAUUUUGUCAUGUGUCCUUUGUUUAAUAUUCACAAAGACCAAGGUGAGCGACACAGGCUCUUUAGAGCCUCUAGUUGUAUUCAAGAGACAUAUUUGACUGACAAGGAGUUAUAUUUUUUUUUUUAGAAAUUAGAACAUCAUAUUUAAUAGCACGUAAUAAGAUUACAAGCAUAGUGAUGAAUCAGUCCAAUGAAUUUAGAUUAAAAAACAUCUUUAGGCUUUUAAAACAAAAUAAGUUUUUGUCUAUUUUGACCUUGAGAGGGAUCAAUAGAAAUUUAUUAUCAGUAUAAUUUACUUUUUCUGUUUGUUUAUUGUUUUACCUUAAAAUAUCAGAUUUAAUCAAUUGUUUUAUUCUAUCGAUUUUCUGAAUUUUGUUGUUGAGAAAUGAUAGUGAUUGUUAUAUAGUAUUUGAGAUAAUCCAGACUAAAAUACUAAUUUUAAUCUUAAAGAGUGUUAUUAUUUAUGUAUAAAGUGAUUAAAAAUGUAUAUGUAAUGAAUGCAAUGAAUACAUCUUUUAAAAUAUUGUUGCAAACAUUUGUAUGGAUUGAGAUUUUAUUCAUGUAUGGCAUAUGCCUUUGAUUAACGCUCUAGAGCUACCAAAGAGUUUAUCAACAUUUACUAAACAUUGAUAAAAUUGUGAAUGGAAAUGGGAAAUGUAUAGGCCUAUAAAAAUUAUGUAGUUUUAUCUGGUGAACUAACACCUGGAGGAGUGAUUAUGCGUAGGGUAACAAACAAGUGGAUACCUCUACUGCCUACUGUUGUCUUUGAAAAAGUAAGAAAAAUUGACAUAAAUGACACUGGUAAAUGUAAAUUACCGCAAAUAAACAUAAAGUGUAACGUCUUUAGUGUUGAUAAUUUAUGUAUGUAGAAAGGUAACAACAUUUGUAUAUAAAGAGAAUGGUAAUAAUUUAAUGAAAAAUGAUUUUUAUCUCUGUAAAAUUGUAUAAAUAUUAUACUUAUAUAUUGAGCGUUUAUGAGCUAUGCUAAACCAAAUGCCAAAAUAACUUGAUGUGAAAUGUAAAAAUUUAUGUUUUCAAUACAUAAGAGAGAGAUAUUUCUGAAUAUGCUGAUCUAAUCUUUAAAAUGUUUGAUUUUCAACUCUCUUCAUUGAAUAACAACUAGACAUUUAUAGAUCUGUAAUUUGAAGCAUAAUGUUAUUGCUGUAUUUCUAUCUAAAUUACAACAUUUUCAAUUCAAAUAUUGACCAAUUUGCAAAGCAAGACAUCAGUUAUGACUCCAAUUCUACAAAGACGUACUCAAUUACCAAAGUCUAGCUAUAUAUACUUCAAGUGAAAUUCUGCUAAUUAUCAAAGUAAAGGUUAAUUCAAGUGAAAUUCUGGCAAAUUUAUUGAAUUUAAUGUUAAAUUCAAGUGAAAUUCUACUAAAUUUAUCAAAGAUAAUGUUAAAUCACAGUGAAAUUCAAGUGAAUCUGUAUCAGGCAAAGUCACUAGGAUUGAUAUGUUUCACUUUAGACUUAACUAUUAAAAUUAGUUUUAGAACAAAACAAAUAAUUUUACAAGUUUGAUAAAGGUUUUCAAGGCUGAGAAAAAAGGUUCAAGAAACAGUUUUGGAAAUUGUUGAUUGGCAAUUGUAUCCAACUAUCAAAAAUAUCACAACAUAACAGUUUUGUACUUGAUUACCAGAGUAGUCAUUAAUAAAAGUUUAAAUUUUAUUUUUCAAGGAAAGAUUUGGUGUCUCCACAGUCAUUCUGUAGUAUUACCCAAUCAGUAUCUUUAAAAUGAAAUAUGCAAAUUUUGAGGGACAAUGUUAUUCCUUGGUAAGAUUAUUCAUUACAAUGAAGUCAGUUAUGUCUUUUGUUUAUAUUUAUUUUUUUCACAUUUACCAUACAAUGGGAGAUAACUCAGAUAUCAUUAUUUUAUAGAGGAAUGGGAAGUAAAUCAACCUCUCAUGUUUUGUAGCGAUCAACAAGUUCAAUGAACUCAAUUUUCUCUUCAUUUUCUGAAAUCACAUUAAUAGAGCUAUCUUUUCCUAUUAUCUUAGAAUUCUUUUAUCACAAAAAAUUGGUUUCUAAAUGUAUAAUCAUUCCAAAAUCUGACAAAUUUGCACGACUUGAGGUUGCAUUUCUGUAAAUAUUGACAAUGCAAUUUCCCAUAGGAACUCCUUUUACAGCUAAAACUGUACCACUUUUACUAUGAAGUUUUGAAAAAAAUCUUAUCCUAGAUUUGAAAGUUUAUAUGCACCACAAUUUUUUUCAAAGGUCAAAAUAUAGGGCUGUGCGGCAUAUUUUCAACGUUUAUAUGCCCUGAGCUUUUCAGAGCUUAAACUAACACUAACUUUCUUAACUACCCCUACCUCGAAUGAAAGGUUACCACAGAUUUCAAUGUAAACAAUAUGCACAUGUAAAUUUACUGGUAAAGUUCCCAAGUGAUAUCUCUGUGAGAUGGAACACAGAGAGCAUAACUGGGAACCAGUAUGUAAACAAAAUUAAUUUUGUAUGAAUAUUCAAGUUCUCCCAAAAAGAGGCAUGUUUUGAGGAACAGCUGUAUUUACAAAGUGCAACCUUGAAGCUCUGUGCCCAUUCAGUACUUUUUAUUUUAUUUUUGAAAGAAGCAGGAUAUAAACUGUAUUUUAGCAUGUAAUUAAAAUUUUUGAAGGAUUUUUAUUUUGGAUCCCCUCAUCUCAUCUACCUUAAUUUGUGUUAAAUUUUAAGGAUUCAACAUUCUUCUUUACAAUACUAGAAAACAUAUACUUGUAUUCCUCCAUACUUGAUUACAAAUGAUUGAUCUAUAAUUAUAGUGAAUUUACAAAUUUUAAUGCAGAAAUCUGUAAAAUUGGGUCAAUAUGGCUCUUGUGGAACAUUUAAUGAUCCUUCUUCUGUGAUUUUAUUAUUAUAUUUUACCUACUGUAUUUGCUAUAGCUUUAGUUGUCCCUUACUCAGUUAACAAUCAAUUUGAUAAUGUUGUAAACAUGUGUUUUUGGCACUAAGUGCAAAAGUUUGACACACCAAAAUUUAGCAACUACUUUUGAUCGAACUGCAAAAAUGUCAAAAUUGACAAACAUCACAUAAUUAAUAAAUAUAUUAUAGCAAAAGCUCUGUUUUAUAAUUGUUUUGCAUACAAUUGUAUUGCAAUUUUUUGUACCAAAUUCUAUGUAAUUCUUAAAUGACUUCAUUUAAACGAUACCAGUGCUUUAUAUGUGAUCUAUUGUAGAUAAUUUUGUAUGAUUAAAAAUAUAAUGAAUGAAA
rnacentral:lncRNA from 1 species